GCGGAGGUAGUUUAAAUAGAAUAUAAAAUUGUCGAUUUUAUGGUACCGUAUUGGUUCUUUGCU
rnacentral:tRNA from 1 species